UUUACUUACAGGUUUAAGAACACUGUUAAAUCAAGUGGGUAAGAGAUUGAUUAAUUAAGCGUAUGUAAAGUACGUCUCCCCACUUGGAAAGGUCUUGUUAUCAUAACAAGACCUUUUUUUGAUUA
rnacentral:ncRNA from 1 species